rnacentral:lncRNA from 1 species
UGUGGCUAUAUAUAUAUAUGUACAUUUCAACCACAAAGUUUUAGAGUAGUUUAUUGCUCACUAAUAGAUAGUGGGAAUGUGUCCGUUUAGAAAAAUUAUACAAAACUUGGAAAUAAGGAAAAAGGAUUGUUGUGUGCCUUGCAAUGUUGUAAUAAGAACAUUAUCUAACAAGCCUGCCUAAAGGUCAUUUAAAGUUCUACAGAGAGGUAACCUUGUUUGACUUAGUGUUUAUUAUUAAUUAAUGAGAUCCCAGACUCAGUAAAGUUAGAUAUUAGUUUAUAGAAGAUUAACAAGUUGCAAAUUAUUUUUGUCCAGUGGAGAUAAUUUCAUUUUGGUGGGAAAGAUCAUCUCAAAGGAGACAGUUUUAUUGCCACACAGGACAUUAACCAAUAAUAUAUUUAACUUUUGAGUCUUAAUUCAGCCAUUUCCCCCACUAUAUAGUUCAUAGUUUCUUGUGUCCUCCUUUGAAUCAGCUUCACCACCUUGCUGUUUCUUUUCAUUAAUAAGAUAAAUAAAUAUUUUGACACAUGCUCAUAAUGUAAUUGAAAGAGAAUAAUUUUUAUUUAGCUUUUUGAAAGUUAUACUUUGGCAAACUAUUAAACUUUUUUUUUUGCAGGGGAUUCAACUCAAUACGUAUUUAUCGAGAAUCUAUUAUGUAAAAUGCAAUGUUCACAGCAUCUUCACCGGGAGAAGAUUCUAUCUUAAGGAAACUCUUUUCUCAUGCAUAAGAAGCACCUCCUUACCUGUUAAAAGUUUAAUCAUGAGAUUGCAGGAAUUCAGUCACAUCUUCAGGCUCCACUUCUAAUUCUAGUUCUCUUGGUAUUCCACCGCACCUGCAGUGACUUCCUCCACCGAAGUCUUGAACCUCUCAAAGUCAUCCAUGAGGGUUGGAAUCAACUUCUUCCAAAGUCCUGUUAAUGUUUGUAGUGUUAUGAAAUAUAUAUACAUAUAGGUUUUCAUACACAGGAAACAGAAUCUCUUUGACCUUCUCUUGCCUUCCUUUUACCUGCCUUCCUUUCACCUACCCCAAAGCAGGACUCUAAUCUUCUGCUUUUAUAAUUGUGGAUCAUAAGACUCAUUUCAGAGAGGGUCCCAACCCAUGGCCUGGGGGAAGGAAUGCUGAUAUAAUGAAGCUUCCAUAAAAAUCCAAGAGGACAGCUUCCUGAUAGCUGAACAAGUGGAGGUUUCUGGGGAAUGGCUACCUGGGGAGGGCAUGGGAGCUCCGUGUCCCUUCCUCCAUACCUCUCCCUGUGCAUCUCUUCAUCUGGAUCCUUCGUGAUAUCCUUUAUAAUAAACUGGUAAAUAUAA